GAUCUAGAUAUAGGCCAGGAUCCAGUUGCUUGCCCGAAGGCCCACUUCCUAAUUUUUUUUAAAGAAAUUCUUGACUCUGGAAUAUCUGGCGCUGCUGGAAUUCGCUCAAAACAACAAAUUUGUUCCCACGACCUUGUGUGAGUGUAAACUUCUGCCCACGUGACCAUCAAGUAUAAAACCUCAGUGAUGUCUCAAACUUUGUCGAUUCCUGCACUUGCCUGAGGAUUUUGGCUGAACACUACUUUCUGCAAGAAUGGUGCUGUUUGGGAAAAGACAUGUCGUCCUGGCCCUUGGCUUUGCCUUUGCCUUGCUUGUGGAUUGUGGCAAUGGGUUUAGCUGUGACGACUAUGCCAAUGGAUGCUCUACGCCCCGUUACACUCCAUAUAGGGGUGUGUUCACUCCUGCCUGCAACAGGCACGAUGUGUGCUACCUCUGCGGAGCGCUGCACGGCAUCAGCAGAUCCCGCUGUGACUCCGCCUUUUAUUCCAACAUGCAUGCUGCUUGCUCCAGUCGACUGUGUGUCCAGGCUGCGGGUGGAUUCUUUAAUGCAGUGCAAGCUCUAGGCGGGCGAUACUACCACAACACGUCGCCACCUGAAUGUAGAGACUGGCGUGUGUGGAGUUGGUGUCUUCCCCACUAGACUUUUCUGUGUGCGAGAAGAGACAGUAAGCUUUGGAUGGCAAGAGUGCACCUGUACUACAACACCUGUAUAAAGACAAAGGAACCACUUCCGUAGCCUGCGCGAAAUGUGCCACGCGCUCGUGUUUGAGAUUUUCAUGGGCAGGACAUUUCCGUUAACGUGUUUGCUACUGCGAGCACCUGGACAGGCUCAUGAGAUGUUGACAAUGAUUAAGAUGCCAGGGUAGGGCUGUUUGAACGAUCAUUGGUUGCCAUACCCAAAAAUCCUAAUGUUGGAAAGAAAAAAAGAAUAAACGAAAAACGGAGAACGACACUCGUUAAAGCAAUCUGUUUGGAUGUAUAUCCACCAGGAAAGCCACUUCUUGUAGUGGAGGCCCACCCACAGAGAACAUGUCUAUCGUUUCAUGAUCUUUUCCUUUUAUUUUACAAAUCACGUGAUAAUUUGCUCUCCAUUCAUAAGUCAUCUACUAAAUUUUUUAUUAUGAAUAAAGAAUAAAUUGCCUUUUUUUGACCAAG